rnacentral:rRNA from 1 species
UACGUAGGCAGCAAGCGUUGUUCGGAGUUACUGGGCGUAAAGAGUGCGUAGGCGGUCCUGUAAGUUUGGUGUGAAAUCUCCCGGCUCAACUGGGAGGGUGCGCCGAAGACUGCAGGGCUUGAGUAUGGGAGAGGUAAGCGGAAUUCCUGGUGUAGCGGUGAAAUGCGUAGAUAUCAGGAGGAACACCUGUGGUGUAGACAGCUUACUGGAACAUAACUGACGCUGAGGCACGAAAGCGUGGGUAGCAAACAGG